CUGGUAUGUCCAGGCUAACCCUGGCCAUGGCCAAGAUUCCAGGUGACGUCGAUCAUUCCCAAGCUUCUACGAGAUAACCGGCCAAGAUUCCAAGAGAUAGAGAUUUGGUCGGCCAAGAUUCCAAGAGAUAGAGAUUUGGCCAAGAUUUCUAAGGACGCUCCACGCGGUUGUGGAGGCAGCGUGGUCAUUUGAUUUAGGAGACAUCUGCCAUCGUCGUCAUUACAUUUGAUUCAUCAAGGCCAAGGUCAACUCCAUAAAAUGGUGAUUAUUUCAUCAAACUUAACUUGUACCAACAGCUGAAUCCAGAAGAGGACACUCUUGAUGGGUCAUACAGACCUUAACAGUAAAGAAUGCCUUUACCAGUUGCAGAAGCUCAGACUAUCCAUUGAGAGUGUUUUGUGUUUAGCCUACCAAGAUACUUACAUUGUACAAAAAGAAAUCUUUACUGCAUGUAAAUUAAAAAAUCUAACUAUUACAUGUAU